rnacentral:rRNA from 1 species
GCUUACGGCCAUACACCCUGAACACGCCCGAUCAUCGGAAGCUAAGCAGGGUCGGGCCUGGUUAGUACUUGGAUGGGAGACCGCCUGGGAAUACCAGGUGCUGUAAGCU